UACGGAGAAUCCGAGCGUUAUCCGGAAUCAUUGGGUUUAAAGGGUCCGUAGGCGGGCCGUUAAGUCAGGGGUGAAAGUCUGCGGCUCAACCGUAGGACUGCCCUUGAUACUGGUGGCCUUGAGUUGUGGUGAAGCAGCCAGAAUAUGUGGUGUAGCGGUGAAAUGCAUAGAUAUCACAUGGAAUACCGAUUGCGAAGGCAGGCUGCUAACCAUAUACUGACGCUGAUGGACGAAAGCGUGGGUAGCGAACAGGAUUAGAUACCCUGGUAGUCCACGCCCUAAACGAUGGAUACUAGCUGUUCGGAUUUAUCUGAGUGGCUAAGCGAAAGUGAUAAGUAUCCCACCUGGGGAGUACGUUCGCAAGAAUGAA
rnacentral:rRNA from 1 species